rnacentral:misc_RNA from 1 species
GUAUGGAUCAUUACCGUUCUCGUUUUUGAUUGUUUUCAAAUACAACAAUCAUCAACAGACAACAUUCUCUAACUUCGCACAAUCAUCAUGCAUAUGCAUGUGAUUGUGUCGCACCAUUAUGUAAAUAACAAGUCUCUCUCACCUGCUCUCAUCAGCAGCGUGUGAGAUGACUUGUCAUUUCAACUUUUCCACAUUCAACAAAUCAUUGUUGUUUGUCAGUGAAUAUGAAUCGAAUCUAAUAUAUAUAAACAGAAAACAUAAUUCUGUACGGUGGAUCACUCGGCUCGUUAUUCGAUGAAGAGCGCAGCAAAGUGCGAGAAAGCAAUGCGAAUUGCAGGACACAUUGAGCAUGAAUAACUCGAACGCAUCUAGCAGCCAAGACUCAGUCGAGGCUAAAUUUGCUUCAGUCUUGUUUACAUAACAUCAAAUUCAUUUGUUUGUCUAACAACAAAGAAAUGAAUUGCUGGCAAGUUCAAUGAAAUCUCUUUGGAUUUGAUUUAGCUUGCAAGACAUAUCUGACAUACAUGAUAUUCUAUCGAAUGUCGUGCAUACGUGUAAACACGAAGUUAUACACAACACACACACACAUCUGUUGAUUUGUGUCAGUUGUCGUAACAUGAGAAAUCUUUAUCAUAUCCGUGUUAUUGACAACAGACAAAGACGCAUCUAAACAUGUGUACACGUGCGUAUGUAUAGAAGACGUUCUCGCGUCUUCGUUUCGCUUCUCCUAACUAUCUUUCAUUUCAAGCUGAAGUCAAAUUAGAAUACUUGCUGAACUUAAGCAUAUUAAUAAGCAAAGGAAAAGAAAUCAACUGAGAUUGCCUUAGUAAUGGCGAAUGAACCGGCAAAAGCUCAUUGCUGAAGCGUGUUAAAUUCACUUUUGACAUGCAUUGUAGCAUUUGGGGUGACUACUGUAUGGUGCCUGUUCGUGUGAGUUCCUUUGAUCAGGGCUUUAACCAUAGAAGGUGCUAGUCCUAUAAUCACGAAUAGUUCUGUGCCGUACAUUGUACACCUUUCGAGUAGCGUAGUUUGAGAUUGCUACGCCAACGUGGGACGUAAACUUGUUCCAAAGCUAAAUAUCAUAACGAGACCGAUAGCGAACAAGUACCGUGAGGGAAAGUUGAAAAGCACUCUGAAGAGAGAGUUAAAUAGUACGUAAAACCGUACAGAAGAAAACGAAUGGCCGCAUUCAUCAGAUUGCUUUGGAUUCAAUUCGAUCUCUAUAUGAUGGUGAGACUUGUCAAGUUGGAACUUCAACAGUCCCUUGGUUCGUUCUUAUCUAGAGUCGGAUGCAUUUCCAAAGUAUUAACUGAACCUGGAUCUAUAACAUGAAAGCUAGUCGAAUCAGCCGAUCUUGGUAGCGAGUUUACUCGUGUUAAAGAUACGGCUUGCAUAGACAACAAAUUCGACUUGGCGUUAUAGGUGAACAGACAUGUUUUUGAUUUCAGUACCUCGAGUACGGCAUGCCAUGAGCAUUGUUUGUGCCACAUGAGUGACUAAGGCGUCAAAACUUUAGUUUCAUCCAUUGUCGGUGCCUAAUGUUUUGUGGCUGUCAAUGAAAUCGGCAAGUCUACAGGAGUUUUGAAUGCCGAGUUAUUCGACCCGUCUUGAAACACGGUCUAAGGAGUUCACUGCAUGUGCAAGAGUUCGGCUGUAUGAAACGCCUUGCUCGUAAUGAAAGUAAAGAACAUUCUUGCAAUGUUUGAAGUGUGAUUUCUGUCAUCUGGUGCAAAUCAUGACAAUGAACGCAACACUGACAGGUUCUAUUGCCGUUGGCAAAGAGCUUAGUAAGAGUAUAUGCAAUGAGACCCGAAAGAUGGUGAACUUAAUGUGUGUAGAAUGAAGCCAGGGGAAACCCUGGUGGAAGUUCGUAGCGGUUCUGACGUGCAAAUCGAUCGUCAAACAUGCAUUAAGGGGCGAAAGACUAAUCGAACCAUCUAGUAGCUGGUUCCGUC